CAGCCGCCGCGGUAAUACGAAGGGUGCAAGCGUUAAUCGGAAUUACUGGGCGUAAAGCGUGCGUAGGCGGUUUGUUAAGUCUGUUGUGAAAUCCCCGGGCUCAACCUGGGAAUGGCAAUGGAUACUGGCAAGCUAGAGUGUGUCAGAGGAUGGUGGAAUUCCCGGUGUAGCGGUGAAAUGCGUAGAGAUCGGGAGGAACAUCAGUGGCGAAGGCGGCCAUCUGGGACAACACUGACGCUGAGGCACGAAGGCGUGGGGAGCAAACAGGAUUAGAUACCCGUGUAGUCCCUGUCUCUUAUAC
rnacentral:rRNA from 1 species